rnacentral:rRNA from 1 species
UCGUGCCAGCCGUCGCGGUUAGACGAAGAACCCAAGUAAAGAAAUCUGUUAAAUUUAAUUAACUAUUAUUUUUACUAAAGUGUAAAGUAACUUUAUUUUUUAGGUAGAAUUUGUAUAAUAAAAUAUAUAAUCUUUAUAAAAAUUAGGGAUUUAACAAAUUUAGAUUGAUAAACCAGGAUUAGAUACCCUGUUAUUUCUAAAUUAUUUUUUCAAGGGUAGUAAAAGUUAUUCUUCAAACCCAAAGGUUUUGGCGGCAUUCUGACCAAACAGAGGAGCUUGUCCUAUAAUCGAUAAUCCUCGUUUUAUCUUACCUUUUUUUGUAGAGCUUGUAUACCUCCGUUGUCAGAUUACUUCAUAAGAAUGUUUUCAAUAAAAAUAAUUUUUUUACUUCAGGUCAAGGUGCAGCUUAUAAAAUGGUAGCGGUGAGCUACAAUUUAAUUUAAAAAAACAGAUAUUAGUUUUAAUACUUUUGGAAGGUGGAUUUGUUAAUAAAAUUGUUUAAGUAUAACUUUUUGAAGAGGGUAAAAGAAUGUGUACAUAUCGCCCGUCACUCUUUCCUUAAGGAAAGAUAAGUCGUAACAUAGUAGAUGUACUGGAAAGUGCAUA